CCGAGUUGGUGGCCACGUGGAGGAGCUGGGAGAGUGGCACCCCUGGAGAGGAUGUGGAAGCUCCGUUGCCUCCACCAUCUUUUCCGCCUGCUGUUCCUGAGUUUUACAUAGUGUCCUCAGCUGAAGAAAGAGGAAGUCUGGAGUCCAUUUCCGGCAGUUAGCAGGGAGCUGUUUUCCUCUCUCUGACAUUAGCAAGGCUUUUAUUCCAUACCUUUGGGGACAGCGGCAGUCAACACCAACUUGUGGCAUGGGAUGGAUUUCUACCAAAAGCCUCUGUGAAUGUGCUCUGAGAAGUUUCUACAGAGUCUGACAGGGCCUCACUCUUUCGCCCAGCUUGAGGUGUAGUGGCACAAUCUGAGCUCACUGGAAUCUCAAACUCUUGGGCUCUUGAGUUUGAAAUAUAGCAAAGAAAGGCUGGGUGUGGUGGCUCAUGCCUUUAAUCCCAGCACUUUGGGAGGCCGAGCGGGAGGAUCACGAGAUCGGGAGAUCAAGACCAUCCUGGCUAACAUGGUGAAACUCCAUCUCUACUAAAAAUACAAAAAAUUAGCCGGGCGUGGUGGCGGGUGCCUGUAGUCCCAGCUACUCGGGAGGCCGAGGCAGGAGAAUGGCGUGAACCCAGAAGGUGGAGCUUGCAGUGAGCCAAGAUCACACCACUGCACUCCAGCCUGGGUGACAGAGUGAGACUCCAUCUCACAAAAAAAGAAAAGAAAAGAAAAGAAAUAUAGCAAAGAAAAAUGCCAGUGCUCCUGCCUAUGGAGUCACCAACUCUUCAUAAAUCCAUUCCAAAUAGAUCAUCAACGACGCUUGUAACAGAGACGUUUUCAACACCGUGGCAUGUUCCUGAAGAAUCAAAGUUGGCCAGAGAGACUAAACAAGGAUAACGCAGACCCUUUUAUGAAGCUGUUUUUCUAUUUUUAAAAUGCAGUUCAAAAGAUAUUGGAAAACUUUC